GACGAACGCUGGCGGCGUGCUUAACACAUGCAAGUCGAACGGAAAGGCCCUUCGGGGUCCUCGAGUGGCGAACGGGUGAGUAACACGUGGGUGAUCUGCCCUGCACUUUGGUAUAAGCCUGGGAAACUGGGUCUAAUACCGAAUAGGACCACGCGCUUCAUGGUGUGUGGUGGAAAGCUUUUGCGGUGUGGGAUGGGCCCGCGGCCUAUCAGCUUGUUGGUGGGGUAAUGGCCUACCAAGGCGACGACGGGUAGCCGGCCUGAGAGGGUGACCGGCCACACUGGGACUGAGAUACGGCCCAGACUCCUACGGGAGGCAGCAGUGGGGAAUAUUGCACAAUGGGCGCAAGCCUGAUGCAGCGACGCCGCGUGAGGGAUGACGGCCUUCGGGUUGUAAACCUCUUUCACCAGGGACGAAGCGUAAGUGACGGUACCUGGAGAAGAAGCACCGGCCAACUACGUG
rnacentral:rRNA from 1 species